rnacentral:ribozyme from 12 species
ACAUUUUUAAGUUUAUUGAUUAUUUAUCUCGAAUUUUUGCAUGUUUCGCUUUUCCUUUCUUGUUCUUUCUUCAAACUAACUCAUCGCCCUCUGAUGUACAUUGGAAGAAAUAUAAACAGUUGUGCGCCGUCCGACAUAACAAAUAGAAGCAAAACUCAC